GAUCUACUCCUUGGUAAGCUCCAGCAUCUUUUCUUUUCUUGCUUUCAGAUCUACCGUUUGGUUGUGUUCAUCAACUAUGAUCUACCGUUUGGUUUUCUACUGAUUUGGGAUGACUCCUACAGUGGCAGGAGAUGAGGAUGAUUAUAGAUCUACUCCUUGGACCACACGUGUUGAGGAAUUUUGUUUCACCCUUCACCACCAACAACAGAAGCUUUUUCGGGAGAUUCAUAAGAGCAACACAGGCUUCCCACCAGAACCGAGUUUUGUAUUGGAGUGUUUGGCAAAUUAUCUAGCUGUGUUGACUCUGGUUUGCAGGUUCUUUGUGUUCGAAUCUCUUUUACAUUUGCGGUUACAUACUUGGUAUGUUUUCAUUUACUUUCACCCUGGUUUGUUGGAUUACUUUUACUUAUUCAUUCGACUCAAUUAACCCGUUUCAUUUUUAAAUAACUUUCUGGGUUCGAGCCAUUCAACCAAAUUGAUAAGCUAGAAGAAGACGUAUGGAAACUUGAGGUUCACUUUCACUUUUCUUGCAUAUGAGCAUAUCCAUUGGAAAUGAGACAUGUGGAGGAUGGACUUUGAGGAGUUCUGUGCAGCUGCCCUUUGUGUCCAUCAACUCGAGGGUCUUGUUCAACGGGAAAGGCAGAGCCGUCACGCCUAUGAAAUAUUUGAGAAAGACGGUAACAGACCUAUUGUACAUGAAGAACUAGCUUAUGUUUUCAAGCACUAAUUCAAUUUAUGUUACGCUAAAGUGUUGUGGCUGCAAGAAAAUCUUUGCAGGGGAGAAAUAUCUGUGAUGGUUGCUGCCAACUAGAUACUCAGUUCUCAAAUCUUGAAGAGUUGGAAGUCAAAAUGAGCAGUCUAGGGAUUUUACAAACCCAUCACUACCUUCUGAACAGAAGGGCAGACCCUCCCAACUUGGAUAUGGAGAUGCAGAAGGUACGUGCACUUUACAAGCUAACGGGGUUUCAUAUAUUUAGCCGAUAAGUUGUGCUGGGUAUCCCACCAGAAAACCAUUUGAAGAAUUUGUGGAUCAGUUUGGCAUCUUGGCUCCUGAAGUUUAUGGAUGGAGAGUAAGUGGAACGAUCUUAUAUGAGUGAUGGAAUUCACGCUUGCAAGAGGCUUGUGGAGAAAGCUGGACUUGAAGGCUAUCAUGUAAGACGGGUUGCAAUGCAUUCUGUUGAAAGCUUUCCUACAUCCGAUGGUUGACUUUGCGAGAACUAACGGAGCAUUAGUGUCAAAGUACCGGAAAGAUAACGUCACACAUGUGAUCGCUGCCACAGAUGCAAAUGGCGCAAGAACAUUGAUUUUACAACGGAAUGGUUAAAGGCGUGUGUAGAGCAGCUUUCUAAGGAAGUUUCUGCUGAGGAAGCAGAAGAGUUAAUUCCCGAAGAGGUUUGUCUACUUAUAUAAUAACUUUUAUAAUGCAACUUUUUUAGUAACCUGAAGUUUUGAACUUAUGUAUAAACCGGAUGAGACUGCUGUGGAGAAUGUCUUUUUGAAGUCUCUUGAUAACUACAUCAAGUGGUGCAACUACUUGGGUAUCCUGCCAAUGUGGAGCAAUAUGGCUGUGAGCAGGGAAAAGAAAUUACUUUUUAUCUCUCUGUACUAUAUUUGAUAUGGGGUGAAGCUGCCAAUGUUAGAUUUCUUCCAGAAUGCUUAUGCUACAUAUUGCAUCGUUCUACAGCCGUAAAAGCAACAUUUUACUGUUGAAAGACAGCUUGCUUGCUUGCUGCAGUCUCUAUAAACACUGUGUGAAAGACAACAUGCUUGCCUCAAUCUCUAUAAAUACUUCAGAUGUAUCAACACUCUACAAACACUCAACUGAGACGAAUUAAACUUUCAAAUUAAUAUAUCGACUCUUUGCAUCUGGAUCUUGCGUUGUUUCUCGGCUCUCACAUCAAGGUUUUAAAUUUUUUGUCGGCUUUUCACAUCUGCCUCUUGCAUUGUUGUAAGUUCUUUCAAAUUUCUUGGUUUUUUUGUAACUUUUAACUGUGGGUUUUAACUUUAGAAGGUUGUAACUGUGGGUUAUUAACUGCCUCUUUGUUUAACUGCCUCUUUGUUUUUUAUUAAUUCAACACAUAUAUAAUUACAUAUGUACUUCAAUUUGUUUAACUGCCUCUUUGAAAUCAAUGUAAUUUACACACAAACAAGAAAUUUGGUUUAGAUAAAAGAUUGCAGUAAGUUCUCAUUUUUUUAAUUAAGUGACUUUGUUGAUCAAUUCGUUUGUAGCAUUAAUUUAUUUGUAUUAAUCUUAUUAUGCAGCUAUUUCCCAAAUUACUUACUAGAAAAAACUUACACAUAUGUGAAAGAUUAAGAUUAUCUUUAAUGUGAUAGUGCAUUUUUUAAACUCAUUCAAGUUCCGAUUCAAUGUUUUGUAUAAGCAGUUGUACAUGUGUAAUAAAGGUUUGGUUUACUGACUACGUUUGUGUGUUAUUUUUUUUGGUUUGGUUUAUUAAAUUCAACAAGAAAUUACUAAUCAUUACACAUAAAUAUAUUAUUACACAUAUACUUCGAUUUAUAUUAGUGGAGUUUCUUAAAUUCGAAUGUUUAUGUGUUUUCGUUGAGUUUUGUUGACGAAAAGCUGAAUCGAGUGAUGUACUUUCGUAGAUCUGUAAAUCUGAUGUAUGAGAUAUUACGAGUUUAUUUUGUUGAUUUCUGUAAAUUUUGUUUAGAUUUGAUUUAUGUCUGUUUUUGGUUUAGUUUGUUGAGGAAAAAUCGAUUAUGUUUUUAGAUCUGCUGAUUA